GCCAAAAUAGCUCAGUUGGGAGAGCGUUAGACUGAAGAUCUAAAGGUCCCUGUUUCAAUCCCAGGGUUUAGGCA